rnacentral:lncRNA from 1 species
CUGGCAUCAGGGCUCAGUGUGCAUUUGUGGAACUGAAAGCCUUGGUUCCCAGGAGCUCAAGCCCACUGGGACCAACAACAGAACGAAGGGAGUUUGCCUACAAUUUAUGACAAGCAGGCAGCCCAUCUCCAUGGCCUGAGCUGCAUAAUAAGCAGGAAGAUGAAGCAAAAGGGUUGGCCCUCCAGUGUCAGAGAAGAUGAACAAAGCUUAUUAAUGCAUGGUAAUACCAGCGUGAUAUCAGAACAGCUUCCCCCAGCAACAACCCAGUUCUCUCACUGUGAUGAAGUGCUCUGCCUUCUGCCUCAGACUUUAGCCACUUGGGAUCUGCAUUAUUGCCUUGUAAAAUUGAUGGGCAGUGGCACAAUCUCCUAGUUUAAGGAAUUUCUGUUAGCAUUAGCAAAAUGCAAUGGCUUUGCAAUUUCUAAGGGCAUUCCUUGCAAUAGGAAAGUGAAUAAAAAUUGGGCCAGACUGGAACAAUGCCCAUCUCUAAUCCCUGUGGCUCCCCUGCUCAGUCUCCUCCAUGUCAUCAGCAGCAGGUGUGAGCUCAGGUCUCCCAAGGUGGGCAAGUCUUAUUUAUACUUAACCUGAAUGGGGCAAGAGGGGGGAUGUUCAUCUUAGUGGGUCUUUUUCUUUGAUCCCCUGAGGAGGUUAUUCAAGAUCAGAGUCUCUUUUCCUUCCAAACUGCUUGGAGAUGUUUCCCAAUUUUUAAAAUCCAACCUGCUCAAUAGUCUUGUGUCUUAAAAACUAUGCUUCUUUAGAAAGGUGACAGGCAGUGGCAGCUGGAUCUUUCUGGUAGCCAAGUGCUCUGGGGAGAGGAGGGUUGAGAAUGAAUCUGAGCUUUUCCUUCUAAGUCUUUGGAUUUUGAGUAGCCCAAGAUGGCUCUCUUCACCACCAUGUUCUGAAGCAGGGGUGACUAUUUCUCUUCCUGAGGUUGGGGAGCUGAGUAUCACAGUUAGGCAACGGUGGGCCAUGCGCUGGUGAAAUGGAUCAAACAUACAGGCCACGAGGGAAAGCAGGAACAGGCCACAGACAGUCAGACCCAAGGCACAUGCUAUUUUCUGCCUUACUGAAAAGAUGAAACAUAGCUGUAUCCUGGCCGCUUCAACUGGCGGGAAAUGAAAAGUACAGAAAACCCAUCUACAAGAAGUAAAAUCAACAAGCACAAAGGGAGACAGAGGAAAGCUCUGGAGAAGCACUUAUAAAAAUGCACCUUAAAUUGGAUACUUGAUUCAUCCUUUCUCAAAGUUUAAAGUGAUUUCCUCUCCUGCUGUCCUGUCUUCUAAAGCAGUCUGAAAUGAAAUCUGCCCCCAGAGCUGUGCACAGAGGAAAUGGAGAACAGAUCAUUCAAGAAGGAACACCCCACCCGCAAGCCGUGCUAGACUCGCAUGGAGCCCUCCUUGAUGUGAGCACAAGGGACCUCCAUGCUCCUACUUCUGCUGGUCUCCAUUUCACCAGGCGCCUCCCUCCGACUUCCAAUUGGCCACAAGCUUCGUCGCUCUCUCUCAAAGCAAUUUUGUGUGUGAGUAUAGUCAGAAGGCUCCAAAGGCAACAUCUGGGUCUGGUCACUGAAGACAGAUGGGCUCCUUCUACUUCUUCUCCCAUCCCCUGGAGGCCUCUGCCAGAGGCUCUGCGGUUUCUGCGGGGCCUGGAGAUCCACAUGUAAAAUCCCUGCUGUAACACAGUGCUUUGUGCUCCGGUGGAAAAACAGCGCUGCUGAAAGCCUCUACCCAUGUAUAAUUUAGCAACAUCACCUGGGGCCGCAGGCACAGUUUGGAGGACAAUGUCAUGGGUGCCUCGGGAUCCACACCUAACUGGGGCAUCUCAUGACAAUCGAGGGAAAGGAUAAUGUCUGCUUUGCUCCCUGAAUUGAUAUCUCUCUGCACUGGUGUCACAAUUACAACUGAAAGGGUGUGGCAGAUGCAUGCAACUCUCAGGGAACAGCCUGCAGCAGAACAUCUUGGCAGGGGGAGGACAAGAGCUGGCCAGACACUUCUGGAAGUUCUGGAAGGAGAUGCUGAAGCUCUACCCAUUCCACUGUAAAGGACAACACCAGGAAAUCCCAGUUAAUAUGGUUUAACCUCCUAAUCAUGCACCGACUAUCCCCCACCAUUGCAUGGGAGGCAGAGAAGAAUAAAACACUGUGCACAUGUGUCCAAAUAGAAUCAAGGGCACUUUUUAAUUGCUUUUUUUUUUUAAACUCAAUGUGUAGAGUAAGUUUUUCACUGGCCUGAUCAAAAGAAAACCAGGGACAGAAAACUAACUGGCUGUGCAAUGCAGACCCCUGCCUGAAGAAGGGACUUCAGGUGGGAAACUUUGCAGAAAGCCCUGUGCAAAGCUGGCUACAACUGCACCCCUCAGAGUAUGAGGAAAAAGGAAAAAAAACCACAACAAGUUCAAGUGAAGAGGAAAGGCCCCUUGAAGGCCUACCAGCCAGCUCCCAAGUGCUCUUCCUUAUAUGUCAAUAUCUUGGUGCUGUUGCAGGACAUUGGAGCAGGCUCAGUGUAACCUCACCCCUGCUGGCAAGAGGCUCCCUGGCCCCACCUCCAGACCCGCCCCAGGCAGGAAGAAGAGCACCCAGGUCUUGGGGCAUGCUGAUGGAAAGGCAGCAUUCCUAGAAUAGGAAAGCAACUGACUGAGAAGCCUCUGUCCCCUUGAAUUAGAGUUUAUUGGUAGGAAAUAAGAGGCUGAAGCCAACUGCGGGCUUCACAGUGAUCCUCACGCCCAGAUGGGCUGACCUAGGAGCAGUAUAGGCUCUACACACCAUUCUGCUGUCAAGUGGUCAAAAUGAACGCAUCAGAAGGUCAAAUUCUGGCUCGGCCUCCAAGUGCAGAGACAGCAUUAACUUCGAGAGUAUUGCUGGCAACCAUUAUAACCCUCUAAUUGCCUAUGCAAUGCACAAGAUUUUAAAAUAUAUGUAUUGCACAAACAAUAUUGUGAAACAACAGAAAUCAACUCUCUCAUCUUAAAAAAACCUUAAUACGAGGUUCCAGGAGGGGAUUUAAAAAAUGAUAUGGCUGUUCUUUGCUUCAGGCAAUAAACAUGCUACUGAAAACCUAUGUGUAAAUACAGUCUUAUGCCAACUAAGUCCUUCUUAAAAAUGCACCAGAAAACAGGCUCUGUUUUAAGCACUUAAUUGUAUUUGCUCAUUAAGUCUUCAGAAGCUCUGGAAGUAGAUUUUAUUAAGAUCUUCAUUUUGCAGGUAGGAAAUUGCAACACAGAAAUGUUCAGUAACUUGGACAAGGUUGCAGAGCUGAGUUGGAACAGGGUGCCCAGGCCUCUGAGCCCACAUCCCUAACCAUGGGCUACACUGCCUCCCAAUGGACUGAGAGUGAGUUAGUUCCCUGGCAAAACCUGCCCCUCCCAAGCAUGCUGUUUAUAAAGAUGGAUGAUCACACAUGGUCACAUUUAAUAUCAACAACAUCCCAUACUUAAAUCUUUGAAUGAAAAGAUAUGACUAUUUCCUGAUAAAGCAUCACACAGCUAAGACAAAGAGCUGAAUGCAUAAAGAAGUUUCCCCAUAUCCAUUCGCCUUUCUUUUCUUGAAAAGCCUCAAAUAGAUUUGGGCAGCCAUACAGCCAAUUAAAAAAAUACUUUCCUGCAGAGGAUCUACAAAAAAUGUCAGCUAACAUCAUACUUAAAGGUAAAGGCUGAGUGCUUUCCCCUUAAGUUCAAGUAGAAGAUGAGGAUUCUGUUAUCAGCACUUCCUUUCAACACCAAAAUGGAGAUUCUAGCCAGGGCAAUAAGGCAAGAAAAGGAAAUUAAAGGAGAUUAAAAAGGAAUAAGUAGGCCAGGCACAGUGGCUUAAACCUGCAAACCCAGCACUUUGGGAGGCCGAGGAGCUCAGAGGGCUGAGGUGGGAGGAUUGCUUGAGCCUGGGUAUACUGAGCCAAGAUCAUGCCAUUGCACUCUAGCCUGGGUGACACAGUGAGACCCUGUCUCAAAAAAACUCCAAAACAAACAAAAAGGAGUAAGUAAGACUGACUCCACUCAAAAAGACAUGAUUGUCUAUGUAGAAAAAUCUUAAGAAAUAUUUAUUUAUUUAUUUAUUUUUGAGACAGGGUCUCACUCCUGUCACCCAGGCUUGACUGCAGUGGCAUGAUCAUGGCUCACUGCAGCCUUGACCUCCUGGGUUCUUGCAAUCCUCCCAACCUCAGCCUUCUGGGUAGCCGGGACUACAGGUGCACAACACCAUGCAUGGCUAACUCUUCUGAAUUUUCAGUAGAGAUAGGGUCUUGCUGUGUUGCUGGAUCUGGUCUCAAACUCCUGGGCUCGAGUGAUCUGCCAGCAUUGGCCUCCCAAAGUUGCUGGAAUUACAGGUGUGAGCCACUGUGCCCAGCCUAAGAAAUAUAUAAUAAAGCUGUUAGAGAAAUAGGAGCACAGGAGAACCAAGGUGACAUCAUUUUAAAAUCAACUCCAUCUUAAAACUAGCAAGGCACAUUCCUUGCCAGUCAUGAACCAUGGUCAUAAGAUGUUUACAGUUGAGAAAACAGCUUAAAUGUACCUGAAAGAACACAAUCUUACAACAAAGGAAAGUCCAGAUGUCCCAAUAACCAUAACGAUAUAUGAUUUUAAGAUAAUUAUAUUUAUGCUUUGAGGUACUUAUUCAAUAAAAAAAACAAGGGGCCAAGUGCGG